rnacentral:rRNA from 1 species
AGAACGAACGCUGGCGGCAUGCCUAACACAUGCAAGUCGAACGAGACCUUCGGGUCUAGUGGCGCACGGGUGCGUAACGCGUGGGAAUCUGCCCUUGGGUUCGGAAUAACAGUUGGAAACGACUGCUAAUACCGGAUGAUGACGUAAGUCCAAAGAUUUAUCGCCCAGGGAUGAGCCCGCGUAGGAUUAGCUAGUUGGUGAGGUAAAGGCUCACCAAGGCGACGAUCCUUAGCUGGUCUGAGAGGAUGAUCAGCCACACUGGGACUGAGACACGGCCCAGACUCCUACGGGAGGCAGCAGUGGGGAAUAUUGGACAAUGGGCGAAAGCCUGAUCCAGCAAUGCCGCGUGAGUGAUGAAGGCCUUCGGUUGUAAAGCUCUUUACCCGGGAUGAUAAUGACAGUACCGGAGAAUAAGCCCCGGAUAACUCCGUGCCAGCAGCCGC